rnacentral:lncRNA from 1 species
GUUUUGAAUGCUAAGGCUAAGAAAGAGAUUGGCCCUCCUUCAAAUCAGAACUCUGAACCGGGGCCCUGAGUACCAACGCCGGGCUCAGCAGGAAGCCGCAGGCCACUGCACAAACUCUCCUUGUCUGCCUCCAGCCACUGUAGGACCUGUCCCCACUGUGCGGCACCUUCCAGCUCUCUGAUAAGUGUUUAAGAGGGGAAGAGGAUAAAAAUGUCUAAGUUUUUAAUACUACUCUGAUUAAACAUGGACACAGUCUUACGACCAGUGAAAUUUCAAAAGAAAUCAUGAGCCAAAAGAACAAGAUGCAUCAUGUAAAGUGCAGGCCGUCCUGGCUUACCAGAGAGUUCUUUGUUCCGUGUCUGCUUCGGAAUCUCAGGUGCACAGACAGCAAAGAUGACAUCGUGAUAGACUGCACUGUUGCUCACUCGAGGGAAUCACGGCGUUCAGAGGCGGGGGCAGCCGGGAUGACCCGGCCUUCGGUACCCGCAUCUGAGAGGCUGCGACGCCGUGGCCGGCUCUGUUCUAGAAGCCCGUGGAAGGCUCUCCCCAGUCUUUGUUUUCUAUCGUACAUCUCUGCAGUGCUAAAUGGGCCCCUCCCUCGCGGGGCUCUGGUGCGCGCGCACCUCCACUCUCUUUUUGUCUCCUUUCCCGCCUCGCCCUGGUCCCCUCCUUUCUCUUUUCAAGAGUCCUGUUCUGAGUGCCAAUUUUCUGAAUUUCGCUUAUUUUGUUUUUGUUUUUUAAUGUACAGAGUUGGUCCCUGUCUAUACUCUCGGUACAGACACCAAAUACACAGUCAUAAUUUUUUUCCAACGUGCACUGUUGUUGCCUCCUAAAACCCUACUCAUCACUGAGACCUUUGCUGAAAUCCUUCGGGGUGAUGGUUUUUGCCGUGCGGCCCCCAGAUGGACACAGUGAAGACCUCCCUGGUAUCAAG